GAAAUGCGAUAAGUAAUGUGAAUUGCAGAAUUCAGUGAAUCAUCGAAUCUUUGAACGCACAUUGCGCCCACUAGUAUUCUAGUGGGCAUGCCUGUUCGAGCGUCAUUUCAACCCUCAAGCCUUAGUUGCUUGGUGUUGGGAGCUUGUCUUGCCGGAAGGCGUGACAACUCCUUAAAACCAUUGGCGGAGUCGCGGUGACCCCAAGCGUAGUAAAUCUUUCUUUUUUUCCCUUCGCUUUAGGUGUCAACGCUGGCGUCUAGCCGUUAAAACACCCCUAAUUUUUUAGUGGUUGACCUCGGAUCAGGUAGGACUACCCGCUGAACUUAA
rnacentral:misc_RNA from 1 species